GACGAACGCUGGCGGCGUGCUUAACACAUGCAAGUCGAACGGAAAGGCCCUGCUUUUGUGGGGUGCUCGAGUGGCGAACGGGUGAGUAACACGUGAGUAACCUGCCCUUGACUUUGGGAUAACUUCAGGAAACUGGGGCUAAUACCGGAUAGGAGCUCCUGCUGCAUGGUGGGGGUUGGAAAGUUUCGGCGGUUGGGGAUGGACUCGCGGCUUAUCAGCUUGUUGGUGGGGUAGUGGCUUACCAAGGCUUUGACGGGUAGCCGGCCUGAGAGGGUGACCGGCCACAUUGGGACUGGGAUACGGCCCAGACUCCUACGGGAGGGAGCAGUGGGGAAUAUUGGACAAUGGGCGGAAGCCUUAUGCAGCAACGCCGCGUGCGGGAUGACGGCCUUCGGGUUGUAAACCGCUUUCGCCUGUGACGAAGCGUGAGUGACGGUAAUGGGUAAAGAAGCACCGGCUAACUACGUG
rnacentral:rRNA from 1 species